GCGUUAAUCGGAAUUACUGGGCGUAAAGCGCGCGUAGGUGGUUCAGCAAGUUGGAUGUGAAAGCCCCGGGCUCAACCUGGGAACUGCAUCCAAAACUACUGAGCUAGAGUACGGUAGAGGGUGGUGGAAUUUCCUGUGUAGCGGUGAAAUGCGUAGAUAUAGGAAGGAACACCAGUGGCGAAGGCGACCACCUGGACUGAUACUGACACUGAGGUGCGAAAGCGUG
rnacentral:rRNA from 1 species